rfam:Microgenomates bacterium GW2011_GWA2_39_19 TT38_C0003, whole genome shotgun sequence.
GGGGAUGACAGGUAUCGACGAGAUUGCACUUUGACAUGCUGCAAGCCAAGUUUGACUAAAACUUGUCAAAAAUAGUCAAAAAUUUUAAGCGGCAACAAACAAUCCGCUUAUCAGUACAAUUACGCAUACGCUGCGUAAUGUCUGACAUCUUUGCUUUGUGCUCCUAGCCGCACUGCACGGGUGUAAACCUUGUUAGGAUGCAAUCGGAGACCGAUCGUCUCUGAUUUAAGAUUAGAUCACGCAAAACACUAGAACUCUUGCUUGUUGAAGAUGUGUUUUGUUAAAUUAAUCAACAAGACAAGCUUGUAGAUGUAUGUAAUCAUGCUUUUUCGGACGAGGGUUCAAAUCCCUCCAUCUCCACCA